rnacentral:rRNA from 1 species
UACGGGGGGGGCAAGCGUUGUUCGGAAUUACUGGGCGUAAAGGGCUCGUAGGUGGCCAACUAAGUCAGACGUGAAAUCCCUCGGCUUAACCGGGGAACUGCGUCUGAUACUGGAUGGCUAGAGAUUGGGAGAGGGAUGCGGAAUUCCAGGUGUAGCGGUGAAAUGCGUAGAUAUCGGGAGGAAUACCAGUGGCGAAGGCGGCUUCUUGGCCUGUUCUUGACGCUGAGGCGCGAAAGCUGGGGGAGCAAACGGG